CAUCUCCCCUGGAAGAUUAGGCUUUUCAGCACUCCUUGAAGAAUCAGGGCUGUGCAGCUCCUUUGGUGGAUGAGCUACUGUCUUGUUAAGAUCGCCAACAUCUUCUUCCUCUUCUUUGAGCUUGGAACAAUCGAAUUAAGAUUCGAGAAAUUAAAAC